UUUCGGCCAAGCUUUUGCAUGUCUUAAAGUUUUGCCAUUUGCAAAUGCCAGUUUUGGGCUGAAAACCCAAUUUUGGAGUUUGCCUGCUGGAAGAUGGCCCAACCGAGCAGCAAUCCUAUUCUGUGAACAAACGAAAACAAAACAAAACAAAAAAAAAAAAAAGCAAUCGUUGGGUUCAAACAGAAUCAGUCUAUACGGCUUUUAUUGGGGUGGUGGUUCCUCAGAGAUCCUCUCUCUCUCUCUCUCUCAAAAACCACUUUCCAAUUCCCUCACUCCAAAACCUCUCUCUUAUGUCCCAAAUUCAGACCACCGAAAACCUAACUUUCCACUGUUGAACUUUUCACCGUCUUCUAUCCAUUUUUUAUUUUAAUUUUUUUUCUAUUAUUGCGGAUCCUACUUCUGUGCUCUAGAGAUGGACAUUGAGCAAAAGCAAGAAGAGAUCAUCGAUCAUUUCGUGAAGCAAGCCUCGUCUCUCGAAGGCUCUGCCCUCGGGUCCCUCGUCGUCGAAGCCACCUCGCACCCUUCUCUCUUCGCCUUCUCCGAGAUUCUCGCCGUUCCUAAUGUUCUUCAGGUAAGAUAUAUUCAACUCCGUACCUAGCAAACUCGUAAAAUAUCUUUCUUUUUUUUUUGGAUGAGAUCCAAGGGUGUCCAUCGCCGACAGUAGUGACUAAUCCCUUUCGCCGCGGGAGCUCUCCAAAGGAGGUAAACAGCUGGUCACGAAAUGCGCUCCAUUCCCAUGGGCAGGGAUCGAACCCCCAACCACAUGGUUAAGGAAUGAGGUAAGGGGACAUAUUCAACUCAAUAGGUAUAAAUAUAAUCCCAUGCAAUUGUAUAUUUUCGAUACUGUUCUAGAAUACAUGCAAUUGUAUAGCCAUAUAUAUACUCGCAUUACACAGUAGAAUAGAAUAGAAUUCUAUCUAUUGGAUAGAGCAGUACUACUUUCAAACUUGGUGUAAAGGUAUGGACCCUUAAAUCCUUUUGGGGAAGCUUUUGACUCAAAUGUGAUUCAUAAAGCAUCCAAGUUUUAUAUUGGUAUGAGUACCUUAAUGGAAAUAUUUCUAAUAGACUUGCAGGAUGAAUUUGAGGUGAAGUGGUGUAACAACAUCUUGGCUAUGUCCCUUAAUAUUAAUGGAAGAAAACCAACUUUGAAAUGUCUGCAUUGUGAGAAUAUCUUGUCAGAUAUCCCUUUAUGGAAGAGGUCAGCUUUGUAUGUGUCUAUGCAUUGUGAUAUUUAGGCUGCACAGUCCUGUUCUCAUGGCGGUGGAUAAUUCUGCCUUUCUCUGUCAUGGUGGUGUGUUGUUUGGUUUCUCAGUUUUAUCUUAAAUGUUUUUUUGAUUUAUUUUUAAUAACCGAAAUAGUGUUUUGAUAUUGGAGAAGUAAAAAAUGAUGAUAU